rnacentral:rRNA from 1 species
AGAGUUUGAUCCUGGCUCAGAACGAACGCUGGCGGCGGGCCUAACACAUGCAAGUCGCACGAGAAAAGCCCUGGCUUGCCAGGGCGAGUAAAGUGGCGCACGGGUGAGUAACGCGUGGUUAAUCCACCCUUGGGUCUGGGAUAACGCGCCGAAAGGUGCGCUAAUACCGGAUAAGACCACGGCGUCUGCGGACGCUGGGGUCAAAGAGGGCCUCUACAUGUAAGCUCUUGCCCAUAGACGAGACCGCGUCCCAUUAGCUUGUYGGUGAGGUAACGGCUCACCAAGGCCGCGAUGGGUAGCUGAUCUGAGAGGAUGAUCAGCCACACUGGGACUGGAACACGGCCCAGACUCCUACGGGAGGCAGCAGUGAGGAAUCUUGCGCAAUGGGGGAAACCCUGACGCAGCCACGCCGCGUGGGUGAAGAAGGCCUUCGGGUCGUAAAGCCCUGUCAGGUGGGAAGAACCCGCAAGUGGACGAAUAAUCCGCUUGCCUGACGGUACCACCAAAGGAAGCACCGGCUAACUCCGUGCCAGCAGCCGCGGUAAUA